CGGACCGGCGCGCGGGUGAGUAACGCGUAUGCAACUUACUAUCAGGAGGGGGAUAACCCGGCGAAAGUCGGACUAAUACCGCAUGAAGCAGGGGCCCCGCAUGGGGAUAUUUGCUAAAGAUUCAUCGCUGAUAGAUAGGCAUGCGUUCCAUUAGGCAGUUGGCGGGGUAACGGCCCACCAAACCGACGAUGGAUAGGGGUUCUGAGAGGAAGGUCCCCCACAUUGGUACUGAGACACGGACCAA
rnacentral:rRNA from 1 species